AUGCUGAAUUGCCAAAUAGGGGUUUGGAGGAUCGGAAUUUUGGUGUUGAAUCUGGAAUUGUUGGUGCUCAUGAGAAAGAUGUCAAUUUGAUGGAUAAGGAUGUGAAAUUCGAUAUUGAAGAGGGGAAUGCUGAGGUUGAGGAUGACGUGGGUGUGGAGCCGAUUAUUCCUGGCUUGACUCCCAGUGCUGGAAUAUCGAUCCAUGGGAUAGGCGGGAAUUUGGAAAACGCAGAAGGUUUUAUAACGAACGAUGCUUCCCG
rnacentral:misc_RNA from 1 species